UAUUUUCAGGGCGGGGCGAAAUUCCCCACCGGCGGUAAAGCCCGCGAGCCGUUUUUACGGUUGAUUCGGUGAAACUCCGAAGCCGACGGUUACAGUCCGGAUGAGAGAAGAUA
rnacentral:ncRNA from 1 species